GAUUUUCUCCCAAAAGACAAGUAAUAUAUAUGGAGAAAUGAUUUUCAUUUGUUUGUUAAUUUGUAUGUUUAGAACUAAAUAUCGUCUCUCCGAAACGCUUGAUAAUCCAAACCACUCCAAACAAAAAAAACUUUUGGGAAAAGAAACAGGCAAUAGGUGCUAAGAUGAGGAAGCAUAACCACAAACAAAGACUGCAAUUCCUAAAUUAUAUCGACAACAAAAUAAUUGCCAAUGCUCAAGGUAUUGCAUGGAUCUUCCUCCCCGUUGUUAGCUUUCUCUGCUCUUGUUGCGGAGUUGGUAAUCUUUUGGGUUGCAAUGGAUACAGUCUCUUCUGAAGUCGUUUGGAUCGUCAUGUUUCGAUCUCGUUUG